rnacentral:tRNA from 1 species
GCUCUAAUAGCUUAAAUCUUAAAGCAUUGACUUUGUAAGUCAAAACUGGGUAUCCCUUAGAGCA